ACUCAUGUGUGCUCCUAGAUGCAGUACUGAAUUUCAGAAAAAGAAUUCUCCAACGGGGGAGGUUGUAAUCAAGGUAGAAGUGGCCCUGACAGGAGUCUAACCUUCAACCUAGCUUAGGUGGCAUGGUCACACUACUGCGGCCCUACCGCCGGGCUAUUGGCCUGUCCAGUUCUCACAACACUCAUGACUUGUUUGGUCGUAAAAAAGUAUAUGUCACCAAGAUAAGGGUAAUUUUGAGGUGACGGAUUUGUAUUUUUAUAAAGAAAGAAUUCGAAAACUGCAUCUCAUUGUACAUAUUGGACUUUUAUCGAAACAUCAUUGCUCUGCUGUGGUGGACGGAACUGUGUUUUACUUUAGAAUUGUAUAGUUGAUUUGGCAAAGUUGGGUCCAGUAGUUGUUCUCCACAUCCCUGUCUUAAUUUAAGUCCAUUGAUCGAAGAUGACGAUACCUUUUUUUGGCCCGUCAGACAGUCAAAGCGUAGAUGAGGAAAGCAAAGGUCCCACUCUGACAUUUUUCCUGUGACUGUUUAGUUAAAUCCCCCAUAAUCUGAUAUAUAUUAGAGAAUAACAUUUUUUUGUCGGUUCUUUGUUGCUGAUGUCUAUAUGGCCCACAAUUCUUAUAUUGCCAUUUUUUAGCUUGUAAUCUUUUGCUGAACUAAUUGAGCUUAUGAGCCUGUAUGUUCUUCAUAAAAAUAGAAGUGUGCUGACCUUUUUUCUCCUACAUAUUCGUCUAUACCCUGUAUGACCUGUAUGUACUGCAGAAACAAUGGGCAGGACCAACAGCUGCACCAUUUAUGUUGGCAAUCUCCCUGGAGACAUCCGUGAGAGGGAGGUUGAAGAUCUCUUCUACAAGGUACAAUAUUCAAUUUCUUGCAAUGAUUACUUGCAAUGCCUUCCUUAUGGCUUUGGUGAUUAUAUAAUCCUGAUAACUAUGGAACAAACCUAUGAUGCAUGUGCUCAGUGUAAAUUUUACAUUACUUUUGGCAGUUUGCAAUAAGCUGCAGCCUGUGAGUUAUGAUAACUUACACCGCAUUGUAAGGAACUAUGAUGUCUUUGCUCAUGCCAUAAGUUUCUUCUUCGAUGUAUCAUUAUGCAGUAUGGCCGUAUUGUGGAUAUUGACUUGAAGAUUCCUCCACGACCUCCUGGCUAUGCUUUCGUUGAGGUCAGUAUUUUGUUAUGGCCAUGUUUUCUAUAAGAAGAUUUUACUACUGUUAGGACUGAGGAUUAUAUUCAGAAUUGUGAAGCCCUACCAUUAUUAUUUUGGUAUUAUUUAUAGUCUGGACUAAGGCUUGAUCAAAUGCUUAGUUCUCGUAUGACUAGUUGUUAGAUGUUAACAAAAAAUAAUAAUGCUUUUGUAGUUUGAGGAUCCCCGUGAUGCAGAUGACGCAAUUUAUGGCCGUGAUGGGUAUAACUUUGAUGGCUACAGGUUGCGGGUAUGUGUGCAUGUUGAAGUGAACACAGCUCUGUUUUUUCUCAUGCAUUCGGCUUGAAAAGUUAUCUACUCAGGUGGAAUUAGCUCAUGGUGGAAGAGGCCAAUCUUACCAGUAUGAACGCCCAAGAAGCUAUAGCAGUGGACGCCGUGGAGGUGUUUCUAGGCGCUCUGAGUACCGUGGUUUGUACUUCUUUCUUGUGAAUAACUUGAUUGAUAUCUCUGGAUGGAGAUCCUUAUUUGUUUUCAUUUUGUGAACCACACAGUUUUGGUUGAUGGGUUACCUUCGUCAGCGUCAUGGCAAGAUCUCAAGGUACUGGAAUUGUAUAUCACUUGUAUAUGUAGCUUUUUCGUACAUUACUUAUUUAGUUAAUUUAACUUAUUCAGGACCAUAUGCGACGGGCUGGCGAUGUCUGUUUCUCUGAUGUAUACCGUGAGGCUGGAGGUUAGUGAUAAUGCUUCUAAAUUAUUUUCUCAUUACACCAUAUUAGUGUACACAUUAGAAAAUUGAGGAAUUAAUAGUUUGAAUAGGUUACCUGAACUGUAGUUGCAUUGUCCUUUCCAAAUCAGAAUCCCAGCUUAAUUAUGGGUGUGUGCCAUAUUGAUGAAAGUGUUUUUUGUUUGUGUUGCAGCAAUUGUUGGAAUUGUGGAUUAUACAAACUACGAUGACAUGAAAUAUGCGGUAGGUUUUGCUUUCUGGAAUGAACAGAUUAUUUUGAAUAUUAUUCAGUAUCAUCUGUUGCUGUUGGAGAGGAUCUGUUGAGGGAGCAUUUCAAAGAUGUCCGUUACGUUCCUGUUUUAGUCGGGAUGUACUUAUGAUUCUAGGUCAUCUUGCAGAUUAGGAAGCUUGAUGGUACAGAGUUCAGAAAUGCAUUUUCACGGUCAUAUAUCAGGGUAUGGGUUUACUUCUUUUCGACUAAUAGUUUAACACUAGUUAAAUUGGCAUCCGCACGCUCAUUUGAUUGUAAACUUGCAUCGACUUAUUAUUAUUAUUAUUAUCAUUAUUCAAUCAUAGGUGAGGGAGUAUGAUGCUAGAUCAAGAAGCAGAAGCCGUAGCCUUUCUUACUCGAGAAGUCGCAGCUGCAGCAGGAGCGAGAGUCCACGGUAUCUUAUUUAUUCUUUUCUUUCUGAUUUACAUUUAGGUUUUAUGAAAGCACUGAUUCUUGAGUACAUAAUUUCUUAGAUCUGUCUCUCGAUCACCGUUACCUGUGGAUGAAAGGUAUGCCAUUCUAUAUUGAUAUACCUUCAAGUUCGUUUAUAGAAGUAAUGGCAAUUUGGUUCAUUAAAGAAAUGGAAGCAAUCUGAUUUCUGAUAUAUGGUGUGAAUUUGUGAUACAUAUAAAGAUAAAAAUAUUGGAACUCCAGUUUUUACAGGCAUGCCACUUCUAAGGUUACAAGAAUAGAACUAAUUCCAGGAAUGGCUGUUUUGAUGUAUUUUUUAUUGUUCUUUAAGUAUAAAUAAAACCUAUGGUUAAUUCUUAUGAAGAAUCACUGUUUUAGAUGUUAGCUUGUCCCAAAUUUGGCCAAAUGAAUAAACAUGCAGUGCUAGCUGGCUAACCUGCAAUGUUUAAGGUUUGCUUUUGUUUUUCCUAGAUCUGGCCAUGCGGCGAUCUGGGGACUGCUUUCAUAGAAUAUUGGAUGUAUUGAGUUCGGAGAGGAUGGUUGGAACUUUGGAUAGUAGAGCUGGAUUAUCAGCAUGUAUGGCAAGUGGGCAACAAGUCCUAGGAGCAAGAUAGUCCUGACAGUAAGGAUAUGUGCAGUGGGUCUUGUGGUAUUAUUUAAUGGUGUUAAUUGUAGGCUUAAAUUUCAAAUAUUCGAUAAACAUGGGCUUCAUUUUCAUUGGGCUCUAAACCUUCUUUUAAUUAAUCUUGCUAUUCUGCUAAAAAUAUAGAUCAACGAUGUUAGGUAAUCAUAAUUUACUUUGGGCAAGUUAAGUGUACAUACUGAGAAGUUGGUAUUAACAAAUGAAGGAGUACACCCUGUUUAGUUCUGCUGUUCAGUUUCAGUUCUAAUAGUCACAGCUAUAGGUUCAAUCAGAUAUGUCAAAAAAAAUUAUACCAGUAAGCAUGGAGCGCAAAAUCCAUACUAAGCACUAGGAUUCCUCUGUCCUAUACUCUUCACGUACUGUUACAUCCAUAGCCGAUGGGUAUAUCUAUGGCUGUUGGUUCGAUUUCAGUGUUAAUUUUGGAUGACACCACACUUUGAGUAAUGAACAUUACUUCUGAAACCUUUUGCAGAUCGCUGUCAAGAUCCCGAUCCCCCGAUUCUUCUGUAAGUCUUGCAAUAAGAGCAACAAAAUCUCAAUUUGAGUGGCUUGUCAAAGCAGCUAAUGGGAUUCUUUUGCAGGCCUCUCCUAGAAAAUCUGUGAGCAGAAGCCCUAGCAGGAGCAGGAGCUUAUCCCGGUCUGCAUCUCCUGUAAUACAGAACACUUUCCAACCUCUACCCGAAGAUCACCAAUAAUAUACUUGAAGCUUUACGCUGACAAAGUCGUUUAUUUCCUGGCAGGUGAGAUCUGAAUGAUCCUGUGCGCAUCUGGAAGUAGUGGGCGACUACUCUAGGAUCCAGGGACGUAGAGGAAUUAGGAUUACGAGUUUAUACCUCGCCUCUGGGGUUUCAGCUGCUGCGCUCAGAUCGCUGCUUUCUGUUUUAUCUGCACAACAUUAUAUUGAUUUGCGGAACAGAGUCAUUGCCUAGCAUGCUUGUCUAUGUUGAACUUGUUAUGUGUCCUGUACUCGGAGAUCAACAAGUGUUCUGUACUCAGAGAUCUGUACUCUAUGGUUAGUUUAUGCACUGUUGGCGUUAGUUUUAUGCACUGUCGGCGUUAGUUUUAUGCACUGUCGGCAUAGUAACAUUUGGGCUUUCGGGAUGAACCCUGCUCUGUUUGUUAGUAACUUACUUAGUGACCCUUGUUGUUUUUGGUAUUGAUAAACUGUAAUGGAAUCUCAAGAUGGCAACGGCCCGAAACGCAUCUCUACCAGUUUGUUCAUGGGCCAAAAUAGUUUUUGAAGAAAGUAUAGAUUUUCACCGUAAAAUGUAUUGGAGCAGAUCUAACUUAGAAAGCAAUUUUAAUACCGGCACCUUUCUAACCGUCUGAUCCGUGUUGAGAUCCGUGUGUCAGGGGAUAACCUUAACUUGAAGUUGGUAUAAUUUACACCCUAAAAUCCUACCUAUCCCUGAUUGUAAAUCCCUUCCUAUCUUGCUGCCGCCCUUCCCCCUCUCUCUUGGUCCUGCACUUAGCAACUUUCUUGCCCUCCGUCUCCACCACGCGGACGCCUUGGUUUGAGCCCGCAAAUGCAUUGACAAAAAUUUGUUUGGUUGAGAUUUUGUUUGCUGAUGAAUUGAUCAACUUUGGUAAAAAAAAAAAAACUAGAGUUGGCAACGGAGCAUUGGCUUGCCUCACAAGAGCCAAAUUUUGGUCAAUGACCAAAUAUUUUGCUGGGUGAAGUUUGGUCACCAUGCAAAAGAUACUUCUACUCCCUUCGUGGUGGUGCCUCGCACCAUCGCCUCCCGCCUGACCAAUCCCUUCUCGUCGCGUUGCCGCACGUCCACUCCCUUCAUGUACUGAACUACGGCUGGCCGAUUUUCUCCUCAUCUCUCCUCCCAAAUCGGUCGACAAGGUGUCCCCAUCUUCUGAGGAAGUAGCCGACGCCUCGGAAGCCAUCCCCGGAAGUGGCUUUUUGGUGCAACCAAACCAAAAGUAAUAAGUUAAGCCUAACCAAACAGACCCCAUCGAAAAUAGUUUAGACAACGAUAGCAAGUAUGAAGUGAAAAAUAGCCUACCAAAACAUCUUAUAGUAUUUAGAAACAGAGGUACUCCUAAAUACUAGACUAGUAAUCGUUCCAAGUGGAGGGUGGAGGCGGGAGUCGGCAUGGACGCAAGUGGAGGCCAAGGGUGUUUGCAAGUGAGGAGGGUGACGGGUCUACGUGAUUCUAUUUGGGAAGGUGCGUACUCUCGAGCGAUUCUAGCUAGAUUAAAGACACAUCGAAUGACAUGAAUCACCGAGAGUAUCUAGUAUUCCAUUUUUGGAAUGAAGGAUCGAGAUUGUUUGGAUUUGACACCACUUGAAAUUUUAUCUGCUUUUUAUACACAGAGAGGAACAAUAGUACUUUAUAAUGUUAGCUUUUUACUAUUAAAUUAGUAAAAAACCUUUUACUUUUAAAUUAUAUUUAAUUUAAGAGUUAAUAUCACAAAACUCCUUGUUUCUGACGAACUAUAUCACAUAAUACACAUUUUCGUUCUUUUUCACUUAACCCAUAUUUUUAGACUAAACCGUAUCGCAAAACCCGUAAUUUCGCUGUCAACGCUGCUAACAUGGAAACUGCCAUGGGACCCCACCUGUCGGCCUCUGAAACGAAAACUAGCCUAGCUUUGUCCGGUCGGGUUCGGUUUUCUCCCAUGUUUAUGCCACUUCGGGCGGGUUCGAAGUUUAUGUAUAGAGGGUCAGGGCGUUCCAUGACACCUCAGUCGCAGAUACAGCGCAAGCGCCGCCAAAGCCUCCGGCCGCGAGCUCGUGCCGGCUUGAACCGGCAGAAAAACGACCAGACCAGACAAAAGUUAAGCCAAAUUUCGUUUCAGAGGCUGACGGGUGGGCCUCCAUCGCAGUUUCCAUGUUAGCAGCGUUGACAGCAAAAUUACGGAUUUUGCGAUGCGGUUUAGUCCAAGAAUACGUGUUAAGUGAAAACCCCUGAAAAUCUAUACUUUUGUGAUACAAUACAGUUCAUCAAAAACAAGCCGUUUGUGAUAUUUACUCUUAAUUUUUUUUUAGGAACAUUUACUCUUAAUUUGAUCUAACCACGCUUGGACGCUCAGGUCAAAAUACCGGCCAUUUACCAACAGCCUACUCGCGAGCUCCCCGAUCCCAUCGGCGAGGCUAGGCGGCCGCUUGCGACUUUUAUCGACAAGGUGCGGCGCCCAUAUCCCUUUCGAUCUCUUACCGGCAGCAGGGUUGGGGGUGCUUUGGUAUAUGAUUAGUGGAACUAUCUGACGAUCUUUGCUCCCUUUGUAGGUUUCGUUCGUGGUUGUUCUGUCGCGGGUGUAGGGCGCUGCUGAUGGCAGGGACGCCGAAGAACGACGCGGCAGAGGCGGCCAAGAUGGACCUGCUCGAGGAUGACGACGAGUUCGAGGAGUUUGAGGUCGACCAAGGUUAUAACCCCUUUCUUAUCGAUGCUCGUUGUUGUAUGUAGUGGUAGAUCUACGCGCCCAGCCCUACCAGAUUUGUUCCUUUGUAGAUCUCGCUGUGCGUUCCAAAUAGAUUUAGCCCGAAUGGAAUACGAGUUUGGGAAGUAUGUUCAUCUAUCUUUACGGUCAUAAUUCCCUAAAAAUAUCUUGUACGGUCAUAUAACGAAACAAAAAAGUCGGAAGGAGAAAGACUAGCUUGCCAUGACAUCUCUACUUCGCUAAUGCUUGCCUCCAAACUUCGCGUUUGUGUGUUUAUAUUGUUGUAUCCGUGGAAGUUUAUAUGGCACUCUUCCACUGCCUAAUUAGCAAAUCCGAUUGUGCCAUCUGAGAUCUGUCAUCUGUGCUGAUAUUGAGUAUUGUCGACCUUCCAACCUUUCAGUUGGAUAUGGACUCAUACAUCUUUUUACAACGGUUUAGGGAUUGUAUGCUUCAGUACUUUGUGUAGAACUGUAUGAAUCUUAAAGAAAAAGUAAUUAUCAGCGACAGAGGCAAAUCUUUGUGAAUCAAUAUCAAUCAGUUUGAUUGUACAAAGCUGUUUUGCAUGGUUAACACACAAGGCCGAUCAAAUAUUUCCAACAAAACUGUAUUGCCAAUGACUUGCCAUGAGUACAUUAUUUGAAAACUAAGUAGAGCAUCUCCUAAUUCUUAAUUGGAUAGCCGUUAAUAAUUGUUAGCUGAUCUCGUACAACAAACAGUUUCACUCACUCACUCACUCCGUUGGACCUUGUUACUACCGCUGCUGAAAGCACAGAAUAGUGAAACUGCAUUAUUCUGUUGUUGUUUUUAGGAAACACAUUGUCCUAUUGUAAACCCCCACUUACUGCACGCGGUUUGUCCAUGACUUCAGCAGUAAAUGGUAAAACUUGGCAGCUAAUUGAUUUACAUCUUUAAUCUUUCACACGCAUAACCUAGUAAUCCUGGGAAGAGAGAAUAGGCAUAUUGAUUAAGUGUGUGAAAUCAAACUAACUACAAUACAUACGAAUUUUACCCUAAUCAUCAAUAACAACUUUUGCUUUAACAUUCACAAACUGUUUAUAAAUGGGGAGUACUGAAGCAAAACCCUUACUUGGACAAGCAUCAAUUUUUUAACUUGCUUGAAGAAUGACCUCGAAGGAGGAUAGUAAUCUGUCUUACAUCCUAUUUCCAUGUUGUUUGUCUACAGUACCGAAUCCUUGGUAUAUUUAGGACAGUCCAUAUGUGCCACCUGAUCAGGUUGACCAGAAAAAGAAUGCAUAGAUCUAAUUUUGUUUCCUAAAGCCCAAAUGAUGUUAAAAUUCAGUCCAUUGUAGCAGUUUGGUCUUUUCAUAUAAUCAUUUAUCGUAGAAAUUGACUUUUUGCUUACAAAUAUCAUGGCUAUGUUACUUUACAUUCAAUCCACGACCCUGUUCCUUUUAUGAUCCUGAAUGAUAUGUUGAUACAGUAUUUCAAAUUCUGACAAUGAUUUAUUCUUACAGUAUCUCUAUCUAAACAAAAUAUCCGUCGAUUGAUCAAUAGUAAUCUUUCUAGUAUCCUAUUGCUACGUGAUUUGUCUUGGGACAAUCAUAUGUGCCACCUGAUCUGGCUGGCAAGAAAGAGUGCACAAUUCGAUUUUGCCUGCUUUACUUUUUAUUUCUAAGGCCCAAAUAAUGUUAAAAUUCAGAUCAUGCUAGCAGUUUGUUCUUAUCAUAUAAUAUUUUUAUCCCAGGAUUGACUUCUUACUUACAGAUAUUAUGGUUAUCGUUACUCUUAUAAAGAACUCAAUUUGUGCUGGCACCUUGGUGGUCCGUCACCUUAAGUCCACCUAUUGAUUAGAUACACACUGAGAUGUUUGGCGUAUGGGUUAUUUGAUCCCAGACAGCAAAACGAUAGUACAACAUUCUCUUUAAACAUGUAUUGUAUUUUUCUAGUCUCUUGCGACACAUGGGUGAUGUGCUAGUGUUAUUUGUGUUCCAUCCAUUACCCUGGUUUUUCUAAAAUUCCGAAAGAUAUGCUGAGAAAAAAAUUAUGAUUCAGACAGAAAUGCUGGUACCGUAUCAAUCAGACCUCUAUCGUUCAAAUUGUGACGGCUAGCAAUUCUUAAGAGUAUCUCUAUCUCAAAAAAAACAUUCAUUGACUGAUGCUAUGUUCUCGUACAAAUAAAUUUCUGAAUUUCAGAGUGGGAUGACAAGGAAGAUGGGGAUGAAGCAGUUCAGCAAUGGGAGAAUGACUGGGACGAUGAUGAUGUCAAUGAUGACUUCUCCUUGCAGCUCAGGAAAGAGCUGGAGAGCUACUCGUCAAAGAACUAGGAUUUGCGGUCUUGCAUUUGCGUUCUGUGAUCUUGUCCGACAACAGACAGCUACAGGCACCAUGUGUUCCUGUGAUAAAUAGUUCUUUCACAUUUUUUUUGUCAGACAACAGUACAGCACCAUCCUAGCAAUUUUAUUUUGACAGAAACUGCAGUUCAGUGAUCUACUGCAAUAUAUGAAAAUAAAAUGGGUGAUAAAAAAGAAGGGUACUGCUAGAGGGCAUAGUGUCAUCAAAACGAUCGCAACCAUGUUAACAUGAGCAAUCAGGACUUCAGGAGCUUGUCAAUGCGAAUUCUCAAGAGCAUCUUCUUGGUGGACGCUUCACCGUGGACUCACAGCGGCACCACCAAGAACUACACCUCCUCAAUGGCGACCUCGCCGGGCGUCGCUUUGCUCGUCACCGUGGACUCCAUCAGGAUGAAUUUCGUCUUGCCGGUUGCCGCGUUCUGUAGCGCGUGAGCCCAGAGCUUGUACCCAUACAAGUUCACGGCCUGGCCAGUGGCCGCCUUGUUCGCCCUCGCACACACCAGCCGACCACCGAGACGGCCAUGAGGAACACGCGCCCGUCGCAAGUCCGCGGAGUUUGUGAAUCCGAAAACUUAACGACGACAAACAACCAUAGCUAAGAAAUAAGAAUCCUCGCGUGGACACGGUUAGCGUACGGUUGAAAUCCGAAUCCUACAUUUCAUCGUGAAUAGACAAUCAUUAGGAGACCGAGACGAGUUCCGAUUCAAGCAACCAAUGGCGGCAUGAUCCGCUGAUAAAUAUGCAGCAGCCCUGCCCUGCCCUCCCUUCAUCUUCCCUUGCAACUGAGUACGCCACCUUCAGAACUUCCUCUCGAUCGAUCGAUCAGGGGAUCCAUGGCUUUCAUGGAUCGCAGCGCCUUGGAGCUCCGCGCCGCCUUCUCACACGGCGGCCGCGUUCAGCAGCACGCAUUCCUCCGCUCCAUCGGCGUAGCACUCCCUUCGCUUCCACCUGCCGACUUCGCUCCCGCCCCUGUCCAUCACGCCGCCCAUGCCAAGAUCGAGUAUCCCGUCAAACCCCCGGCGACAUCGGAGCUGUACGCUGCCGCAAUGGACGCUCGCCGUGGGCAGCGGGCUGUCAAGAUGCCCAUGUUCCCGGACUCCAAGACACGGCCGCGGCUGUGUCCGGAUUACGACGACGACAUCGACGCCAACCUGAAGUUUAGGGUUUAUGUGUGCGUUUUCCGAGUUCGUGGACUAAAGUGUUCAUUUUUGCGGAGUUCAUGGACUAGUGGUGUAUUUUACUCUAAAGAAACUCACUUUUGGCAUGCUUCGUGAGUACUUCUUAUACAAAUCCAACUCACUUAGUUCCGCACGGAGGGAGUAUAAAAAUUGCCAAUGGAAGAACCAUUUUCUUGAAUCUUUUAUGCAAGGGUAUAAACUACCGACAUGGAUCUGUACGAGAUGCGCAUUUUCGUUUCUGAAUGUUCUCUGCCUUAGCAUUCUAGAAAAUAUGUUCUCUGCUUUGCUGUCAGCCUGAAGUGUACAUGUCCAUUUUCUGAAUGACUCUGAAUACAUUCACGAUGACACACACUGAGCUCUGUAAGAAAUAGAAGUAUGAAUGUCUUUUCAUGGGUUCAGAUCAUGCAACAGUUAAAGAUAUGUGAGAUUUCUGUAAGCAGGUCUAAAAUGUAUCAAACUUUCAAACUUAUAUUUUGUGCAAAUCAACAAGCAUGACUUGUUUGCAACUUCAAGGAAACAUAUCAUCGGCAGCAGAAAACCACAUCUUUUCAAGAGAAACAAUAUGUUGGUUUGCAAGAACUGGAUUACCGAGCCACCUUCAAGAAUGCAUGGUCAGAGAUCAAUCUGAGUUCUCUAUGAAUUGAACACCCAAAAUCACACAUUGCGACAAUUGCAGAUAAAAUGCUUGGAGUGACACAAGAGACUGUAUGAUUAUGACAUGCACAAUUUUUUUGGGGGUAGAGCGUAGGUGCUGUAUCAUGUGGAAUAGACACGUCGUUUGAUGCAGUUGCGCUUGGUUGUGAUAUUCAAGAUUGUUGAAAUAUAUCGACGAUUUUUCCAUAGUAGAUCAAGGUGAACUCCUUAUGUGCUAAUUCAUUAUGGUCUUAGAGUCAAAAGAUCUCAAGUUCAAAUACAUAUGAUCAUAUACCUCACUUUAGUUUGCAUUUUGAGGAUUUGUCUCGCCUUAAGUCACUUACAUGUGGGGUCUAGAACCAUCUGUUAACUUCAAGAUCACGCAAAAACGUUAUUAAUAAAAAUUAGCUAAGUGCGUGUGGUCAUUGUGUAGUUUUUAUAUUAAUUUAAUUUAAAUCUAAUAAAUGAUAUUUAUGUAAGGAAUAUAUUCUUCUCCUUCUGGACUUUUUGGUCUUUAUUUGGCCAUAAUUUUAGAAUCGAGAAAAAUUAGAUAAGAUUUGAUGAGGCCUAAUUUCGAAAUGGGAGGAUGCCUACAUUGAUUACACGUCUAAGGUACCGUGAAGCCAUCUAAAUAAAAGAUCUGAUGGAGCCUAAUUCGUCAGUGACACUGCUCAAAUUUGUUGCUAAGGUACCGUGAAGCCAUCUAAAUAAAGGGUUUGAUGGAGCCCAACUCGUGAGGGACAGUGCUCAAAUUUGUUGCCGAUCUUUCUCUGGCAGUUUAAGUUUUUGGGCGAACUAGUUUGGGGCGUCAAUUUAAUAAAGAGUCUACAUGUACUCAUACAGCAUUAAUGUCCGUUCUGGCAUGCCAAAUCAAAAAGUAUUGAAGGGCUGCACAUUGAUUCGCUGGCAUGGAGGGGAUACACGGAAGAAAAACAAGCUUGCCUUCCUUUCGCGAAGGAAAAGGAUGCACCUUCCAUAGUGAGGAAGUGUUGAUGUGUUCCUAUCCCCAUCCACGUUCGAUCUUCCACACUCAUAAUUGAUGGGCCUGCGUUUGAGCUUCUGUGCUUGUAACUAUUGGGCCCACGCUCGAGAUCAUGUGUCAAAAAGCAUUUUUAAAAUUAAGAGAAGACAUCGUGCUGGAAAUUAAAGACAUAUGUGCUUGAAAUUAAAGACACAAGACACGAAGAUGACACAUACGAAAAAACCAAUACACGUUGCGCCAUUGUAUUAAUGCAUGCACAAUGGUUUUUCCUCCCGGAUACCACAUAGGAGAAUCGUUAAGAUGAAAUGAAAAUGAUGUUUGGAUUCAUUUAACAAAGAGACGAUCUCUUCGUAAUAAAGAUAUAAUAGUUUUUUAUUAUACCAGAUUGCAUUUUGUUAUCUCACUUUUCUUAAAUAGAUUUAAUCACAUAGUAGUAUGUUUUUAGCAUCAAUUGCAAGGUAUGACACUAGGUAAAGAUAACCACUAUUGUACACUGUGUUCUAUUGUCUUCUAUAAAUAGUUAGGGUUAAUAUGGAAUCACAACAAAGCCACUAUGCGUGUGCAAAUGCAUAUAAGCAGAAUUUCCUAAUUAUAUAGCUAGGGAAAUAGGAGAACUCAUCGUUAAACGGUUAGAUCAGAAUUGAUAUGUCUAACACGUCGUUUUGGACACUAAAUUUUAAAUGACAUGUUAGCACACAUCAUGGUUGUUUUGGCCUGACAGAAAUUAGAAAAUGAGGCACAUAGAGCACUAACAGAUCUCAGCAUUGCACGGAAAAUCAUGACAGAAAAAACGGUUAACCUAGAAUCGACGUCACUAAUAGAGUUGGUGAAUUAAGAACGAAAUAUUAUCUCUUAGCUGCAUUGCCACUAUGCCUUCAAAACAACAUUCUUCUAGUGAUGCUGAAUCGUAUAUGAUAAUUUUUCACUUUCGCAAGCAAAAAUAGAAACUAUUAGACUAUAAACGUUGGUCUCAUAGCUACCCAUUUUUCUAUGCCAACAAGACAACAGUCCAUUAGAGUCACUCUCACAUUCAUUGUUGGCAACGAACUGUACGUUCCAACUUUGAUUGGCAACUGUCCGUGUGCCAACAUAGCACUUAAGUACUAUGGCCCUUACUAAGUGGUUGAGAGGACGAUUAACAAUGUGGUAUACAAAGUGCAGCUUCCACUGGGGUGCCUGACUUUUUUUCUUGUCCAACAAACAACUAGAGCUUUGAUUUCUCAUACAUAGAAAAAGAGUUGACUAGUUAACGAGUGGAACCGGCCAAAAACCGGGCCCAACCUCUCAGAGCCUAUACAGUCCCCCAAAACCUACAAGCUAGUGGUCCAAGCUUUUGCCAAGAAACUGCUUCGCCAACUAAUUGACACCGCCGCCAUUGCUAGGAGAGAGAGAGACCAAGUCUACCAUAGGAGGAGAGGAGCUUGAACACUCCCAUAGUGGCUAGGUGGGCAACACGUUACAGGAAGCACGUGCGAAAAGUGACGCCCAUUAGGAGCUUGGUUGCCCACAAGACCCAAGGCAAACAGCUACACUGCAACACAAACACAAACACUCAGGGGGUAUCGCCUUGAUGUCUAACCGCUAUGCUCCACCCCGUGCAGUUGACCAACACCACCUUUCAGGUCAUCGCCUCGGCACCCAUCGCCUGCCAACGAGGUGCAGCGCCGCAUGACCUAGACCGCGCGCGCGCGUGUGUAUAUACACAUUAAUGCAUUAGUUCCCCUACAGCCACCAUCCUGUCGACAAGAACAAAUAGCGCAACAACCACCAUUUUGACAGAGUCUUGGGCCUACAAGGAGAAGCAUGCAACCAGGCUAGGCUAGGGCUGCAUCGCCACCACAUCCUUAGGCUGGCGCCCUGGCUUCCACACGCCUACCUUUGCCGCCCACUUGAGCCAGGCAACCGCCACCGCUUACAGCAUGAAGAGAGACCCUAGCCAUGUUUGAUAAUGAGACCGGUGCCACCGUGACGGAAAAACUGGUAAUAGCGACACAAGGAGGACGAGAGCACUCGCUGUAGGGGUCGGUGUUUUACCGUCAGUGCUGAGUGACAUGACCGUACCCAGGUUGAACUGACAAAGUGCACAUGACAUUGGACAAAGUCUUCAAGAUAUCUUAACUACAUAUAUACACCCCUAAAUUUAUGCAUGAAAUACUUAUGACUUGUAACUGCAUACCCCAUCGUGUCAAAUCUAAGUCGACACUCCGCAUGAGAGUGGAAAGAGAAGACAUUAAAGAUGAGAGGUUGCGAUAGUAGUUAGGGCGUGUACGAUGGGGUGAUGUCAACAUUUUCUUAGCGAUGCCACAUAGGAUAAAAUCUGACGUGGAAAAGAGAGAAACGAAGAAAAGGCAGAACCCUUCUCUUAAUUAAUACUCCCUCCGUUCCAGAAUUCUUGUUGAAAUAUUACAUGUAUCUAGACACUUUUUUAUGAAUAGAUAGAUACAUCCAUUUUUGGGCAAAUUUGAGACAAGAACUAUGGAACGGAGGAAGUAGAUGAUUUCUUCAAAAAAAUGAUAAGGCAAAGAUAAGACACAAUUACCAUUGUACUGGAUUUCACCUUUUCUUAUCAUUUAUUUAGUUAAUUUUAUUCAUCUAAGUAUUAAUUCUAAGAUAUAACACUAAGAGAUAACUCAUGUUGCAGAUAAGGACAUGCCCUAGCACUGCUGUUUUAUCACGAUUCAAUAUUCUGGUGUACCUGAUUAUCUGCAGGCUAACUUCUUCCGCAAGCCAUUUUCUAGCGACACAUGGUCAAGAUGAACAUCCCGGACGAGCGUGGGGCCCACAGCACGCUCAUCGGCAUCUACAGGCUACAGGUGGUGAGUGGUGACGGAUGUGAAGACGAGAGUCAAGGGAGGUGCGAGGCCUCGUGUGGCAAGGAAGCGCGGGGACCGUCGUACGAAUGGGGCCGGAAGGCAGCGAGGCCGGGCAAAGCCCUCGGUUUACGGUCAGUGGGACCGGAUGGUCAGUGCGUCUGGGAGGCGGAAAUAUAUAACCCUCCCUUCCCUGUACCGUGAGAACUGAACAAAAUCUGAAUUCCCAUCUCCCUUUUAUUUGCUCCUCAACCCCUUUCCUCCCAAAUCGCUCGCAAUUGCGCGUUCCCCAACUAGCCGCUGGUCGAAUUUUGCGAGGAUCCCUUCCGGGGCCUCACGGAUCUCUCCGCUGUUCAGCCGCCAACCAUGGCGCCGGCCCCGGCCCCGGCCUUGGAUGUCGAUGGCGAGGGUGGCGGUGCCAACGGCCAGAACACGGUGAAAUCCGAUGUUCACGGGGAACUUGCCACCCCUCCCGUCAUGCCUGUGGGCGGCGGCCCCGUGCCCGGCGAAUUCCGCCCAGAUGGCCCGGUCGUGGCGGUUCCUGAGGAUGGUAUCGACUCCUCUGAUGACCCCGCGCCGGUUAUCGAUGUCGGGGGCGAGGGCAAGGGCAAGGGCAAGGGCGAGGCCGACGGGGGCAACGCGGUGCUGGAAUCUGCGACCGAACACCGCGAGGGCGACGUGGGCAACAACCUGGGUGACGUGGUGCUGAAAUCUGCGACCGAGCACUGCGAGGGCGAAGGUGCCCUUCUCGCCCCUUGCUCCGAACCUUCUGGUGCUGAUCCUGUGGGAGGAGCUUCCUCCUCUUAUGACCCGCCGCCUGUGGGGAGUUCAGGGCACGUGACUGACGAGCGAGGAGGGGAUACCACGGAGUGCUCGAGCUCGUUUGCGGAUUCUCUUUUUGAGACCGAUGAUGAGGCUGGCAAUGAAGUGAGUUCCCCCUUUUCAGUUCAUGAUGAUGAAGGUCAAUCCUCAUUGCUCCCUAGGUGAGUCUUUCUAUCAGUUCCUCGUAUGCUCUCAAUGACACAGGCUGGAUGAUUAUGCAAUUCUGCUUUCUGGUUGUAUUGUUUGUCAGAGAAAUAAACAUGUAUAAUACCAUGUUAGGCAGUUAGGCAUUGAUUGUUGAUUUUCUACGCCCUCGAGGUUUCCCGCGCUGGCGGGGUAAAAGGAAGGUUGUGGUAGAGCUUUGAUUGGUAGCAUAACCAACCAAACUUUCGAGGUUUGGAAUGCACUUGGCCCGCCGCGCCAAACUGCCGUUAUAGCAACCUGGCCGACAGACGUAAGGAGGUACAUUAGGGUUAGGGAUAUAGAGAAUGAGAUACGGAAAUUGGCUUCUUUAUUAUUGCUUGCCAUAAAUAAUUGAAUCUAAUUUAUCUAUCAAAUUUACUUGGUUGGCAAAAUAAACUAUUAAAAUUAUAAAUAAGAUUGAAUCCAAUUAUACCAAACCCAGUGAUUUCCUAAAUGCUCAUGAUUUUGCUUAUUAUGUGCAUGAAGUCACCUUGUGGAACAGCUUGUUCUCAAGCUAGAAUAUGGGAUUAUCCUCCUUGAAUGCCUAUAUUGGCCAUAAGUCUAGUGGCUAGAAGUUUGGCCAGUUUUGGAACCGUCAUGCCCUGAUUGAAAUGACUCCUCUAUUCAAUGCCAAGCUUCACUUUCUUCACGUUGAUCUAACUCGAAUCGUUGCAUCAAUGUGACUCCUCGAAUCCAUUAGCGCUUGACCUGCCCACCUUCCAGCGCCGCUCAGGCAUCUUAAUUCCAUCCAGCGCCCUCCUGAUUCCAUGGCCUGGCGAGUUGUUACUGAUUUUCACUCUCCUUCACAAAAUGUUCGUCGUGAAUAUUAUCUCUCUAACAGCACGGGAUUUCACCCGCCUCAAGAGUUGCAAUGAGGGCAACGACGCAGCGGAGCACGACAGCUCCUGUUACAACUUACGUGCUCUUAGUCUCUCUCUCUCUGUCUCUGCUUUGUCUAUCUCCUGCACAGAAGGUGUUUGAUGAUUUCCUCCUUUCGAAGAUUUAUUGGCUUCCCAGAACAUAUAGCUCAACUUAGUUCCCCUGUGCAAGAGGUGCGGCGUGUUCAAGAUUUCCUGUGUUUUGGUGUAUUUAGAUUGGCCGUGGUGUUAAUUGUUUUUAAUUUGAUCGAUCAGUAUGGUAGGUAAUAGUGACAGAAUACCAAAAUCAGAGAUGCGAUUUCCCCGGUGUAUAAUUGGUAGGAGGCAGCAGUCAAACCUUUUUGCUACCUGAAUGUUAGAUGUGAAUUAGGAACAAUUCAUCUUAUUUUCUCUUCAGGACACGUUCAGUUGCAUCACACAGAAGCAAGUAGUGGAUGCUAUUCCAUGCAUUUUCCUUUGUACUGCUUCCGUUUCCAAUUGAUUCGCGCCAGCAAUUUUGUGAAGAGAUGCGAUUUCCCCGGUGUAUAAUAGGUAGGAGGUGGCAGUCAAACCUUUUUGCUACCUGAAUGUUAGGUGUGAAUUAGGAACAAUUCAUCUUAUUUUCUCUUCAGGGCACGUUCAUCUUAUUUUCUCUUCAGGGCACGUUCAGUUGCAUCACACAGAAGCAAGUAGUGGAUGCUAUUCUAUGCAUUUUCCUUUGUACUCCCUCCGUUUCCAAUUGAUUGGCACCAGCAAUUUUGCAAAAAGCCAGUGCUAUUUCCCGAAAUCGACCCGCAGUCCACGUUCUAUCAGAACUUUUGCGAAAACCCCCCCUGUUGUUUUUGGAAGUCCACGUUCAAUUGAAGCUGUGUACUGCGGGCUGAUUUUGUAAAUUAACAGGGUUUUUGUUUUUUUGCAAAAUUGCCGGCGCCAAUCAAUUGGAAACAGAGGGAGUUCAUUUAAAAACAGGGUUGACACCAUGCUAUUUCAUGCACUUAUUUUCUUGUCAUACAUUUAUAUUGUUAAAUGUGUAGCAUAUGUAGCAUGUGCACUAUGCCACUAUCUAGUGUUUUCCCUUUCAACCUUGCAUGUAUAUGCUCCUAUGGAAAUGCCUAGUUUUUAGUUCUGAACUAUGGCACGAGAUCUCUUGACCUAUACGUUCACAACGAACGCAACCAGUAACACUGUACCUGUUGGCUCUACGAUGUUUGAACAUUGAAUUGAAAUUUGGGCGUACAAUUCAACUUUUGUGUUUGUUGCCACUCAUGUGCUAAGAUUUUUCAAGAAAGAAGGGCAGCCAGAAAAGGUAUGCAAGAUACAACUGGUUACAGUGAACUAAAGAGUUUGUCUUCACCUAUUCCAGAGCUUAACAUAAAUUAUCUACUCGUAUCCAUCUCUUCAGUAGUUCAAAGGCUUCCACUCUCUCCCUUGGAUGAUAGGCACCAAAUUUAUAUGGAACUCAGCAAUAAGUGAAGGGUAUUAAAAAAAAUCACGACCUCAAGUUACGUGCCUGAAAAAUAAGAAACCUGAAGGUGCCAUGAUUCCUUAUUUAAGCAUCAGGCAUUGUGCGGCAUAAAUCAUAAAAACUGAACUGCGAGUCUAGCAUCUUCCACCUGCAACAUUACUGACCAGGGUGUCCCUGGGUUGCUACUUCCUGAUUUCGCCAAUUCAGAGGCAAUUUCAUUGACGUUACUCAGAUAUAUAUUAUCACCCUAUAACCUCAUGACAGUGUAUGUUGUGUUGCAUGCACUUCUUGUUUGUUCAUAAUACAUUAUGCUUACAGUUCAUGGAUGUAACAUAAGUAUAAUGAAGGAAGCCAGGAGUUGAGUUACUCUUGUGCAUGCUUCAAAGUUCUAGCUGACCUGUCAUCUUUUAUGGUUAUUCUGUAUUACAUUCUCAUUGUAAUUCUGCUGUAUAGAAAAGUUAUGUUCAUUCUGAUGUGGUUUCAUCUGUAUAAUUUUCUCAUGUGUAAAUUAUCUUUCAGAAGGAAAAAGGUGAGUGCUGAGUGGAAGAAUGAUGUCCGCCCUAUGCUGUGGAGGUUCCAGUGGUUAGAGCUGCGCAUGAAGGAACUUUCAUCUCAAGUAUCAAAGUAUGACAGACAACUUGCACUCAUCGAGCAGGAAAAGGAAUUGCAGCAGGCAAUAAACAAGACAAAUGGUUCUAGGAUAGAAUCAGGGAAGAGUUGCAAAGGCCAUGAAAAUAUUAGCAUGGUGAGGAGAAACCGGAAACGACAUGAAGACACUGCGGACACUUCAUCGUACCUCAAGAAGCACCAGAUAUUGUCAUACUUCUUUGGUCUGUUAUCUAUUCCUUCUCUCGUUUUAAGGAUAGGACAGUACUUUUUAUCCCAUGGUUGUCUAUGUUUUGCACCAUGUUACUAUUGGUAAAUAAUAUUGUCCUUCUGAUCUUUGGCAGAUAAAGAUAAGCAAAACAAGGGGGCUGAAACAGAUGGUCUCAUAAUUGAGGAUGAUAGUCAUGGUCCAGGUAUGGAUAUGGUGACAUGCCCAUGUCUUAAAAUUCUGUGCUGUAAUUAACAAAUAAAGUUAUUUACUAUCUAGCAAGAUCCUACAAGUUGCCACAUUACUUAACUGUCAGGAAAUGCUUGCUUGUAUUAGGGCACCUUCAUUUGUGUUUUAGUCACAUGCUAACGGUCUUCAUCUUUAGAAGGUUAAAAAGUGGUGAUUCUACUAUGAGUUAUGACUAUGACACAUUUAAGUCUUCUAAAAUCAACAUACAUCUGUGCAACCCAUUUUGCUAGGUGCACAUUCAUUGGAAGAAAGCUGACAGACCUAAUGUCAUCUUGUUGAUAUGAUUGGUAAAAAUGGUCAGGACAGCGAGUGCUUUAAUUUUUUAUCUUAUCAAAACUAGCAAAAAUACCCAUGCUUUGCUACGAAUUAGAAAUAACACACUGCAUGUUUAAAUAGAAUGUUAUACUAUCAUUUGUUGCUUUUCAUCAAAUAAUUCGUACCUCCUCUCUCAUGUCAAUGGUCUGUGCAUAAUCAUUAGGUGUCAUGAUUUAAAGGUGACGGAUCACCGCCACCGAUUUAAACCUUUAUAGGAGUAAAGAAUCGUUGACCUAAUUGUAUGAAGUAGCCGUAGGAGUAAUUAAUAUUUAAUGCAACCAUGUCUUGGCAUGUGUCUCCAGCUUCUGCCUAUAGAAUAUUUGGUUGUCAAUACUGAAAAUGCAAAAUACCCUCUGGGUAUUAAAUAACUUUCUCAUUGCAAGUGUUAUCUGUUCAUUUGAUUUUUUUUUUCCUAAUGCAGUUGGUGAUGGUACUAAAGGUCGGGCCAAUGCUGCUAGUUUGCAUGCGCCCAAGGAAUAUGAUGCGGUUUCAGAGCAAUUCAUGUUACAUAAAGUUCUCAUGAAAAUUGGCGAUAUCCAGUCUCAAGUUCAUCAUCUGCAAGAGCAUCUCAGCAAGGCUCGUACUAAACAAGUAAAGUUGUCAUCUCUUCUGGCUUAUGCCCAGGUCAACGGAACUGAGAAGAGGCAAAGGACACAAAAACGUUCAUUUUCUUAUAAGAAUGAUCGAUCUGUUAAACCACAGAAAAAGAAGAAUCUAAACAUUUUACUGGAACAAGAGGAUAGACCAGCUCUUGCAGUAAUACCUACAUCGUCUGAGAGGGCAACUGGUUGUCUAAUCGAAGUUUCACAUGGGAAUGGUGAAGAAAAAGCUGGGGAGAGGAGCCAGUCACAUAAGAAAGCUAUCACAGCGGACCUACUCCUAGGUUUUGACAGUUCCUUACCAAAUGGUCAUAUCUGCAAUGAAGUAAGUCCUUAUGUUUCUUGUUUGUUUCAGACUUUCAGUUCAGUUGUAUUCAAGUUGUUGCUUAUGAGUUAUUAGUUGGAACCAUCCACCCUUGUGUGUGCACAGCAGGACUGGGAUUUAGAUUUCCCCAGUUACGUAAUGUAGACUUAUAAAGUAAACGCCAUAUAGCAUCUGCCAAAAAACUGUAUGGAUGACAACUUGUCUACUUUUGAAUUCCGAGAUAAUCUUGAUGAUAACAGAUAAUAUACUACUCCCUCCGAUCCUAGGCCCUUUUUGGUUGGGCUUAAAACUGCGUUUUGACUUUUGGCUUAUAAGCCACAAAAGCACCUAAAUAGUUGCUUUUGACUUUGGCUUUUUGCUUAUACCAUCAUCUAACAAUAUCAAGUCAAAUGUCAAAAGCCAAAGCCGAAAGCACCUAAUUUGGUGCUUUUGUGGCUUACAAGCCAAAAGUCAGAAAUCAGUUUUAACCCAACCAAACAGGGCCUAAAUUCUUGUCGUGGUUUUGGUAGAACUUAGGAUCGGAGGGAGUGAGAAUUGUUAUCAAGUACGUAUUGGAUAUGGGAUUUGGAACCUGUGUCAGAUGUGUACUACCUCCGUCCAACAAUAAGGGGCGUAUUAGGUUUACUUUGACCAAUGCUUUGACCACAAAUUACUCUAUUAAUAUAUAAUUAUAUAAUAUAGAUUCAUAUCCAUUAUAUUCCUGCUCAAGGAUAUUUGCUCAUGGAUAUGAUUUUGAUCACAUUAGUCAUAUAUUCAUGAAGUAAUUUGUGGUCAAAGGCUUAGUCAACCGAACCCUAAUAUGCCCCAUAUUGUUGGAUGGAGGGAGUAGUUCUUAGGAGUAAAUUUCGUAGGAUGAUGCUUGUACAUCGGAUCUAUCCAGAAUUUCAUAUUUAAUGUACCGGGACUAGGUAUAAGACAUCCCCAUAGUAAAUUGAAGGUUGUAGCACUGAAGACAUCACAGCCACAGGGCAAUGUGCUGAGGCAGUUCACUGGUAACAUUGGUUAGAAAAGCACACAAGUGUAUUCUAAAUCUCUUUUGCAGCUACCUAAUCUUCCAAUGGUAAUGUAAUUUUGAUUAUGUCAUACGUCUUUCUCCAUCCAGUAAUCAUCUGAUUCAUCUCACUGAUUAAGAGCCUUUUAUUUGGGUAUUCUCCUUUUUUUAGUUAGUUUCUUGGGUAAUAUAUUUUCGUGUACAUUUAGUUGAUACUGCUGUUGUUUCUUUCCACAGAACACUGAUGAUAUCCUCAUAGACAAUCGAGGAGCCAAAGUGUAUGAACCGUUUGAGAACGUCGAGCAUUCACAGGAGAAACUAUCAGCGCUGACUGAGAAUGUUGCUAAAACUGCUCCUUCCAAAGCUGACAAUACCUCUGCACAGGUUGGAGCUGAGAAAAUUUCUGUUCCAGUGGUUAAGAAGCAACUAAUUCUUGAAAACCAACAACCUUUGAAGCAUGUCUACUCUGGAAAAAAACGGGGACGGCAGCCCAAGACCGAAGGUACGGGCUCUGCAGCUGCAUCCAAGGAGCAGAGUGAACAGGCCUCCAAAGCACCUGCUGCAAAGCAGUGCAAGACUGGAAAUUCUUCCUUGGCUGCAAAGAAGCUGCAAACCGGGAACUCAUCCUCAGCCUCAAAGAAUCUGAAUACCGGGAAUUCAUCCUCAGCCACACAGAAUCUGGAAACCGGAAACUCAUCCCCAUUCGCGAAGAAGCAGAAAACGGGCAACUCAUCCUCGAAUGCAAAGAAGCAGGCAGCUGGAUACCCAUCUGCUGCAAGUACAGAUGCGAGUGGAAACACCCCCACCAAUAUGAGGAUUGAGAAGGCUGUCUUGGUGGAGGUGAACAGCAGGAGGAGUCAAAGGGCCCGGAAGCCCAAGGUUUACUGAAGCAAACCAGCCUAAUCAAGUGCAGCGUGGUGUAGUUGUAAGAAACAUGUCUUGUUUAAUAAUGUAUCCCUCUUGGCUUGCUGAAGUUAAGUAGCUGUGUUGACCGAGUUCAUCCGAAAUGUUAGUGUACAUAUCCCUUAUGUCGUCUGAGUCACCAAUCUAAACUGAAAAUAUGUUAUGUAUAGUUGUUCUUUGCUGAGUAUGUGCUGCAAAUGCAGUUGCAACUUGGCGGUCAGCAUCUCACCGAAAUCUUUACUGCAUUAUUUUGUGGUACUAGUAUUUGCAGGAGUAUUCACCUAGCAUUUGUUGGCCCCUUGGCUGCUGCUGUUUGAAUCAGGCUGGGAUUCCAGCUGAACUACCCUUUGGCACUGCUGCCCUGGAAGUAAUGUUGGUGUGUAGUUCGGCACUUCGAUGGAUGGAGCUGAGGGGCACAUUACCUCGUACUCUACCAGCCUGCAAACUGUGGUUGACGAUUUACUGAUUUUUGAGGAACAAAAGAUUCUCUUGAACUGUUGCUUCAUUAACGCAUGCGCAAGGACUGUGAUGCCCAUGCCUGUGACCACAUGAGCUCCGGAUCAAGAUUCGUCACUUGAGGACAGUUGUAUAUCAAUCAUGGUGGGGUUGCGGUUGCGAAACGUCAUGAGAUGGUCCAGAUACGUGAGUAGUGGUACUGCUGGUACUGGUUCUAUGCGAAGAAUGCAACGAGUUAAGAGAGAGUUUAAAGCCCUCUUGAUCGGUCAUAAAUUCAGUUGUAUUGCUGCGUUUGCAACAACAGGGUUAUCGACGGUGAGUUGAUAUGCUGCACCAGUUUUACCCGAGGAAAUUUUAUCCAGUGGCUACAAGUUAGUGUUGAUAAACAUCCUAGUCAUUGGCUUCGGCUACAUUUCUCUCCAUCGAUGUGAAAAUGUGAACCAACGGACAAAUUAGCGGUAUCAAGCGGGAUCUCACCAAAGCCCCACUUUCAGGCACAUUUUUAAAUCGUUGAUCAAAUACUUCCUCCAUCCAACAAAAGAUGUCUCAAGUUCGUUAAAAUUUAGAUAUGUCUAGACAUGACUUAUUAUAUAGAUGCAUUCAAAUUCAGUCAAAGUUGAUACAUCCUACGGAGGAAAUAUUUGAAUUAGAAAAUCUUUUAACGAAGUGGGACAUGGGAUCCCACUUGCAUUCAUCCCAACUGUAAAUACACGCUCUCCUGCAUGACCCAUAAUUCCAUAAAUAGAAGCAAUCAAUCAAAAGAAAGCAGCAUUUUUGCAGCUGACAAUCGACAGGUAGGAGCAGCUCAAACAUCACGUACCUUUUGCGCUAUCUUAAGCCUUAACUCCUUCGCUAAAAUUACUCUUCGAGUCGAAGUCAAGCACUGUUCAGUGACCACUAAUCCUGGUCCCUGGGGCAGCAUCUCAGUAAUGAGAGGGAGUUAUAAUACUUUCCAGCAAUGUGAAAAGAACUUUAGUCGUCUAAAAGAUCAACGCUCUGCCCCUAAAAAGUACUCAUUUUUCUUGCUAUUUUACAAAUAUAUGCCUGAUUUUCUCCACGGUUUUGUAGAUAUUUUUUCCCAACAGAAUGUGUGCUCGGUGCACUUCUUUUUGUUGAUUCAGAAAGCUGGAUUCAUUUUUCAUCUCACAUUCAUGUAGCCCUAACCGGUUUUCUUAAAUUUUCUGUAUAUUUGGACCCCAAAGACUAAUUAAUCAUGUUAAUACUACUAAACAAUUUUAAUGUUGUCAUCCUACUGGGUGAAGCAAAGUAGAGUUAAAGAGAGGUGGAGGGGGACUGAACCAAUGAUGCAACUAAUUGCGUAAGAAAAGUGUGGGGAGACCAAGACCAAUUGUCAAAUUGUUUUCUCUUGAUUAUUUUGCCUGUAAAAGACUAUCCGUAUGGUAAUCCUUUUGGCUUCUAAGUGACACGAAGCCUGGUUUAAAUCUAUUGCGAAAAUCACAUUUUCGGGUUUUCGGGUCUCAAAAUAUACAUGUGCAUAGGAACGUGUGUUACGUGUAUGUAAUUUAUUAUGAAAUAUUGUUGAUUUUGAGCUACUAGAAAUACAUUGAUUUCAAAUAGAACUACAGUUUGCUACUCCAUAUAUUUGUGUUUGUACAUGGAUCACAAAUCAAUGUAUUUCUUGUUGGAAAUGUACAAAUAUGUACUCCCUCCGUCCCAUAUUAGGUGACCCAAAUAUGUCUAAAUAUGGAUGCAUCUAUAUACUAAAAUACGUUUAGAUACAUGUAAUAGAAAGUCAUUUAAUAUGGGACGAAGUGAGUAGUAUACAUAUAUACUUGUACUCAAAGUUUUCCAAAUGUUUUUCAAACGUUUGAAUACAAUUUCAGUUAUUUAAAAUUUCAGGCUCCCUGUAGCUCGGGAGCCAAAAGUACUUGUCUUUAUGCAUAGAUGUUUAGAGCUAAGAGGUCUCGAGUUUGAUACCCGGCUGGCCCAAUUAAAUUGGAACCCACUUUCGAUCCACAUUUAAGCAUGAGGGAGCCACACGUGAGGGAAGUGUUGAAAUAUAAAGUGAACGAGAAGACUAGAAAGCGACUGCUUGGGCCUUGGAGCACCGUCCCAACCAAGUCGUUUAAUUUUCUUAAGCGAUAAGCUCAAUUGAUACUUCCUUCUGAAUUUAUAAAGUAUGGAGUACGCCAUACAUUUUAUGUUAAAUUUCAAUCAGCUUUUAAGUUGGAUUAGCAGUACACACUUAUUGUGGCAGUAAAAAUGAGAUUAACUAGGUGAUUUCCCACGCGUUGCCGCGGAAAAUUUUAUAUGCACGUCUAAAUAUGAUUUUAGAAACAAAUAAUAAUAUGAUUUAAUGCAAAAUAAAUAUGAAUAUUGUAGGACAAAACGAUUUUAUCAUUCAUAACAACUAUGCAACAAAACAAUAGGUAUAAUUUUGAUGUGCAUGAACAUUAACAAUUUCGAGGAAACCGAGAAGUGAAGUUUCGUCAACCUGAAUAUUUGUAGAUCUUAGAAAACAUAACAUACACAUCAUGAAAAUAUGUGUGUUUGGUGAAAUAUUUAUAUGCAACGUGAAAAUGAAAAAUCUUAGGUAUCAAAAUAUUAAAUUCGAAUGGACCAUUAAAAUGAAUUCCUAUGUACAAUAACACAUGAUGUGGAUGGUGAUGUGGAGCCUUUGAAUACCCAUGAUGUGCAUGAUGUGGAUGAUGAUGUGGACACCUGGCAUGUCAAACUUGCAAACAUUAAUUGCAGUUAGUGGGGAUCAACUUUAUAAGUUAUAUAGAUUGCCUAGUCCUUUUCAUCAGAUCGAUCUUUUGCUUGCGUUAACUAGCGGAUGAAGCCCUUCGGAUACUAACGGCUCUCCCAAUGCAUAAUCUGUUAGCAGGUUAUCUUAGGUGGUGAUAAUUCAUAAGAGACAAACUUCAUAAUACAUUAUCUCUUAGUUGUUGUCUCUAAAGAAGGUUGUGUUGGUUAAUUUUGGAGGUAUGAUUGCAUUUGACUGAGGGAAUUAAUGCUUUUGUCUAUGUCUAAGUGCAAGAGCUCUAUCACAGUAAGCAAGAGAUAACCUCACUCUUUUUCUUUUUUCUUUUUCUUUUGCGGGUAACAUCACUCUUUUUCUUCAUUAAUUAGUACGCCAUAUGCCAUCAAAAUGCUUAAAAUUUUGUCUCAAGAUACCCCAACUGAGAGAGGCCUAAUUCAAUAGUAGUUGCUAGAUAAGCCAACUAGGGAAUUGAUUAUUUUCUUGUGAUAAGACCUAUUUAUGCCAGUGGAAUAAGAUGUCGGCUUGUUAAAACAUCACCAUUGGAAAUUACGGCUACAAACUAGCACACCCUAACUCUUGGUAUUUGAUUUGCUACAAUUUGAACACAGGAUCGGGUCUUGGCCUAUGAGUUAAAAUAGUAGUUGGGGAGUUGGAGCAGUAAAGCCAAUAAGUACUCGGACCUGAUUAAAUGCGCUCUGUCCCGUCUGUUAGAGUGUGUGGCUAGCUGUGGUUAGAAGCGUAACGAGGCUGUAACGCUAACGGUAUCUACGCUCAUCUUCUUGGCCGCAUAAUUACUGACACCGUUUAGCUGAUUGUGUUUCAAUUAAUUAGCUGAUUGUGUCUUCUAAUAAAGUAUUGAUUAGCAUUGUACUUGACAUCAUAUUAAAACAAAAAGCUCUCCAUGUGACAUAAAACUCUGCAUAGGACACCUCAAACCUUUUUCUUCUCUCUUGUUCUCUCUCUCAAUUUUUACGUGUGACAUAAAGCUCUGCACAUAUUUCUUCCCAUUUCUUUUCUACUGCCAAUGAAAAUUUAUUUACAGGAGAACUAAUGUACAUAUUUUUAUUUCUUUUCUUAUUUUAUUUUAUUUUUUGUUCAAAAUUUGAAAGUGCACAAAUGAUGUUACAUUGCUCGUUAUCGAUGUAGAUUAUGGUACCUCCUCAACUCAUAAUUGUACCUCAUGCACCAAGAAAAAAACAUUGGUACAUGAUGGUACUUAAAUCACAAUAUCCGCCAAAAUAAAACAAGUACCUCCUCAACUUAUAAUUGUACGUCAUGUAUCAGUAUCAGAAAAAAAAAUAUGCACAAACAUUCAUCAAAACUUAGUACCUCAUGAUGUACCAAUUCAUCAAAACUUAGUACCUCAUCUGUAAAUACUGUGUUCAUCAACUCAUAAUUGUACGUCAUGUAACAGGAGAAAAAUAUAAGCACAAACAUUCAUCUAAAUUUAGUACCUCGUCACGUACCUAUUCAUUAAAACAUAGUACCUCGUCUUACCUCGUCUGUAAAUAUUGUCUACAUCAAUUGUACGUCAUGUACUAGAAAAAAAAUCAAAAACACAGACAUUCAUCAAAACUUCGUACCUACCGAUGACACAUGAGGUACUCAAAAAACACGGCACACCGUUCAAGAAUACAUGUUACAAAUCAACUCAUCGGCACCUUCCACGAAUCCGAUUCACUAGAUGGUAUACAUCUUCGGUAAGGGAUCAGGUGGCAUGAAGCUCACCGUCGAUGGAUCUAUAUAAAAAAAGUACUUUCUGCACUCACCACCGACUUGCCGCCACAGGCUUUGGGACUGGAUCUUCCGGCGGGUCGGCAGGCAGGGACGGGUCCUGGGAGGCGAGCAGAGAGGCCACCGUCCCAGCUUGAUGAGGUAGCUAGCUUUGUUAGAGUUUUUGUACAAUUUUCUUUGAAUAAACAAUGCUCUUAGUUUUUAGCCCAACCUUUUUUUAAUAAACAGGGGUCAACUAUUUUCAUCUAAAUGAAUUGUGGGAACAUCUAGUUCUCCAAGAAGGUUUUAAAAAUAGUAAAACACAUUAGAAAUAUUAUUUCUAUUUUAAAGGUGACACGUUAAUCUCUAAACUUUGGAAACACACGUUUGGAUCCUAAUAUUUUUAUGUUGUUCAUCACAAGUCUUAUGUGUGUAUUUUCGUGUCUGACCGAUGACAUGACUGUUUGACCAACGCCAUGUAGGCAUGGUCCCACCUGUCAGGUACCCCUUAAAAAACCCCGUUCUCUGUCUGUUGUGCUCCCUUUGUCCACCGAACGCCCGGAACAACAACUCAUCCGGCAGACGGAUUCGAUAGCAAGGGCAGCUCAUCAAACCAUGCCAUGAUGGUAAUGUAGUACGAUACUGGUACUCUUUUCGUCACUAAUACAGUAAGAUGUUGUAAUUUUGUGCCAAGUCAAAAUUCUUAAAGUUUGAACAAAUUUAUAAAAAAAACUACCAAAUCUACAACUCUAAAUUAGUUUUACUAAGCCUAUCAUGAUAUAUAACAUCUAGUUGACUUACUUGAUGCAGUAGAUAUUAACAUGUUUUUUUAUAAAUUUAAUCAAAUUAUUAUAAAUAAAAAAGUUGACUAUAAAUGUAAGUAUACUCAUCAGCUAAUUGUAGUAAUCCCUUCGACACAUAUUACUUGUCUCAAAUUUACCAAAUACGAAUAUAUCUGUAUUUUAAAAACGUUUAAUAUUUCGACAGGUAACAGGGUUCGAAGGAGUAUCAUUCAUACAUGCUCUAUGUGAAUGUAAGUACCACACAUCAGCUGUAAUCGCCGUGCGUCGCCAAUCUAGAGCCGGGCACAACAGUAGUACUGUACAAGUUAAUUUCCCCUUCCAUCUACUACUCUCUUUCGGAAGAGCACAUAAGAAGGCAAGAGCCAAGGAAUCGGAGGGAUCAGACCAAGAGAAGCCAUGGUGCAUCCAGUGGCGGAGGCCAACGAGCGGAGCCCCUUCGGCGAGCUCACCGCCGAGGAGUUCUACGCGCGUCACGGCGUCACGCACUCGUCCUCCACCUUCGUCAACCCGCGCGGGCUCCGCAUCUUCACCCAGCGCUGGGUGCCCAGCGGCGGCGCCCCGGUCCUCGGAGCCAUCGCCGUCGUCCACGGCUUCACCGGUGAGUCCGGCUGGAUGGUGCUCCUGACCGCCGUCCACUUUGCCAAGGCGGGCUUCGCCGUGGCCGCCGUGGACCACCAGGGCCACGGGUUCUCCGAGGGCCUCCAGGCCCACAUCCCGGACAUCGGCCCGGUCCUGGACGACUGCGAGGCGGCCUUCGCCCCCUUCCGCGCCGACUACCCUCCGCCGCUGCCCUGCUUCCUCUACGGCGAGUCCCUCGGCGGCGCCAUCGCGCUGCUGCUGCACCUUAGGGACAAGCAGCGUUGGCGCGACGGCGUGGUGCUCAACGGCGCCAUGUGCGGGGUGAGCCCCCGGUUCAUGCCGCCGUGGCCGCUGGAGCACCUGCUGUGGGU
rnacentral:lncRNA from 1 species